GAGAGAAAACGAGAAACUAUUUGCUCUAGAAGAGAGAUUAAGAGCGAUCGAAGGACUGAAUAUGUAUGGUUCAGUCGAUGUGGCAUCGCUUAGAUUGGUGCCUGAUGUGGUGGUGCCGCCCAAGUUCAAGGUCCCUGAUUUCGACAAGUACACUGGGAAUUCAGACCCUCGCAUUCACUUGGCCACCUAUAUCGCCAAGAUGUCCGCUCUGACAGAUGAUGACAGACUGCUAGUCCACUUCUUUCAUGAGAGCCUCUCCGGGGCAGCCCUGAGGUGGUGCAUUCAGUUGGACAGGAGCAAAUUGCGCUCCUGGAAAGAUUUGGCAAAUGCUUUCCUGAAGCAAUACAAGUUCAACUGCGACGUGG
rnacentral:misc_RNA from 1 species